UUUUCAGCAGUGAGGAAGGCGGAGUCGUUAAUAGCGGCCUCGUUUGACGUUAGCUGCAGAAGAAGCACCGGCUAACUCCGUGCCAGCAGCCGCGGUAAUACGGAGGGUGCGAGCGUUAAUCGGAAUUACUGGGCGUAAAGCGCAUGCAGGUGGUUUGUUAAGUCAGAUGUGAAAGCCCGGGGCUCAACCUCGGAAUUGCAUUUGAAACUGGCAGACUAGAGUACUGUAGAGGGGGUAGAAUUUCAGGUGUAGCGGUGAAAUGCGUAGAGAUCUGAAGGAAUACCGGUGGCGAAGGCGGCCCCCUGGACAGAUACUGACACUCAGAUGCGAAAGCGUGGGGAGCAAACAGGAUUAGAUACCCUGGUAG
rnacentral:rRNA from 1 species